rnacentral:misc_RNA from 1 species
ACACAUUUUUCGCCAAUUGGUUAA